GGCUCCUUGGUCAAGCGGUUAAGACUCUGCCCUCUCACGGCAGCAUCGGGGGUUCGAAUCCCCCAGGAGUCACCA
rnacentral:tRNA from 1 species